UUAAUAGCUUAUAAAGAGCUUGAUAUUGAAGAUAUCACGGAAGUAGAUUUACUUUAAAAUACUUAU
rnacentral:tRNA from 1 species